GCGGGGAUAGCUCAGUAGGGACAGUGUCAAACUGAAGAUCUGUAGGUCAUGUGUUUGAUCCACGUUCAUUGCA
rnacentral:tRNA from 1 species